rnacentral:rRNA from 1 species
AUUGAACGCUGGCGGCAGGCCUAACACAUGCGAGUCGAGCGGAUGAAGGGAGCUUGCUCCUGGAUUCAGCGGCGGACGGGUGAGUAAUGCCUAGGAAUCUGCCUGGUAGUGGGGGAUAACGUCCGGAAACGGGCGCUAAUACCGCAUACGUCCUGAGGGAGAAAGUGGGGGAUCUUCGGACCUCACGCUAUCAGAUGAGCCUAGGUCGGAUUAGCUAGUUGGUGGGGUAAAGGCCUACCAAGGCGACGAUCCGUAACUGGUCUGCGGGGAUGAUCAGUCACACUGAACCGGGAACAGGGCCAGAACCCCUAGGGGGGGCAGCGGGGGGAAAUUUGGGAAAAGGGGCAAAAGCCGAAUCCGGCCAUGCCGGGGGUGGAAAAAGGGUCUUCGGUUUGAAAAGCACUUUAAGUUGGAAGGAAGGGCAUGAAGUUAAUACCUUGCUUUUUGAACGUUACCAACAAAAAAAGCACCGCCAAACUGCGU